AACGAACGCUGGCGGCAUGCCUAACACAUGCAAGUCGAACGAAGGCUUCGGCCUUAGUGGCGCACGGGUGCGUAACGCGUGGGAAUCUGCCCCUCGGUUCGGAAUAACAGUUAGAAAUGACUGCUAAUACCGGAUGAUGACUUCGGUCCAAAGAUUUAUCGCCGAGGGAUGAGCCCGCGUAAGAUUAGGUAGUUGGUGGGGUAAAGGCCUACCAAGCUGACGAUCUUUAGCUGGUCUGAGAGGAUGAUCAGCCACACUGGGACUGAGACACGGCCCAGACUCCUACGGGAAGCAGCAGUGGGGAAUAUUGGACAAUGGGCGAAAGCCUGAUCCAGCAAUGCCGCGUGAGUGAUGAAGGCCUUAGGGUUGUAAAGCUCUUUUACCAGGGAUGAUAAUGACAGUACCUGGAGAAUAAGCUCCGGCUAACUCCGUGCCAGCCGCCGCGGUAA
rnacentral:rRNA from 1 species